AUACUAACUGGUCAAUUACAUCUGGUGGUAGACCCUGGCCUACCUAUUUCGGACAAUAGCUGGAUUGACUGAAACGCCUAUUUGUAGUAAGUGAAAAAUUCCAUUAAAUCGAUAAUCGAUUUAUUAUGAUAAAUAAUAUUACUUAGAACACUAAACAUAAAAAUUAUUACUAACAAAUUAUAGUAUUUUUACUCCUCCUUUGACCUAUCGUAUUUGUGUAAAUAGCUAUUAUUUUUCUAACCUAUGCCCACCUAGGAAUAUCCCACAAUAAACCCCUUAUAUUCUAAAAUUUGGUCAUUUACUCCUCGUGCAAUGGCUCUACACGCAACAUGACAUGUCUCUCACCAAAUUCAACAUUUCCUUCUUCUUUUCUUGUUUCUUCUUUUUCUUUAUUCAUCUUCCACUCCGAUGAAGCUCCAUGAUUGAGAACGGCUUUAUUAACAACUAUGGUAAAUAUUCUCUCAGCAUCAUAAUGGUAAUUACCAAGAACAUUAGCAGCAGAAACUGGUAUUAGAUGGGAUGAAGUCUUUUUCGAAGUUAUUAAUAAACAUAACAAUUGAUGCAAAAUCAAUUGCUGUUCAUCAAUGCUAUCUCCAUUUUCUGUCUUCUUUAAACUUAAUAUAAAUUCCUUACUUACUAUAAUUUAUUAGUUUCUUUCGCAUAUUCUUAGCUUAUGCAUGUGUAUGCAAAUAUAGUAUUGGUGUAGCCCAUUUAUGUUCAUUAGAAAUUAGAUAAAUAAAGAAUUUUGACAUGUACGAAUAUUUAUUCCCCACCACUGUAUGUGUAUGUAUACAUAUAGGAAUUUAUCUAUGUAGGCAUGUGUAUGUAAGUAUGUAUGUAUGUAUGUAUAUGUAUGUAUGUAUGUAUGUACGUAUGUAUGUAUGGAUGGAUGGAUGGAUGGAUGGAUGGAUGGAGGGAGGGAGGGAGGGAUAUAUAUAAGCACACGCAUGUGUAUGUAUAUAUACUCCGUUACCCUACCUGACGACUAAAACAAAAAAAACAUUGUGAAUUGAGUUGUACUGUAGCGGUGUCUAAUAAUGGUUUGGGAGUUUUUUAGUGCAAGCUUGCUUUUCCCUUCUGGCAACACGCGUUGAAUAUGUAUACAAUAUCUCGUUAAAUGCGUUAACACACAACAGGUGCAGGAGAAGAUGCGUGUGGCCCUGUACAUCAUUUUGUUCCGAAUGCCUGCCUAAAAAGUCAUUACACACCGUUGCGGUAGUAAUAGUAUUAUAUCACGAUUUUAAUUUCAAGCCAGACGAUAACAUCAAGCUCGGAUCUUGUCAUAAAAUGCCCGAGUUUUAUUCUUACUUUCCAAAAUUUUAAGUUGAGAAACAUUUUUACACGUAAGAGAUCUGGUAUUUAAAAAAUGUUUGUUGCGAUUUCUUUAUGUCUAUUUCAUUAAAAGAGAAAAUUGCUCGACAUUUCAUGUGGUUUAAAUUUUGGUAUAGUUUAGAUUCCCGUUGGUGAAACACUGUCUAGUCAUCAAUGAUUCCAAAAGUAGUAUAUCCACAGCGGCGAAACAUUAUUUACCGUACAAGACAAAAGAUGAAUAAGUAAGACAGAUUUAUAUGUCGCCAUAUUGGGUUCCAGUAUUUCCAGCAAGUUGCGAUUGAAUGUGGCUGAGCAAAAUGAACACCGAAAUGUAAACACAUUCUACUAGCUUGUGUGUCUGUGUGUGUUUAUACAUACAUGCAUAUAUAUAUGUUUGUGUGUGUCUUUGUACAUAUAUGUGUGUGAGUGUGAAUGUAGGAAUAUAUGUGCAUAUAAAGGGAAAGUUUACGAAAAUAAACAAAAGACGAAGGCAGGUGGUGUACAAACAAACAAAUGUGUUAGUAUAGCGCUCAGGAAUAGAAAAAGUAUUUUAUGUUUCGAGCCUACGCUCUUCUACAGAAAGAUACACAGAAAAAACAAGGGGAGAAAAAAUGUGUGUGGUAGCUAUAUGUGCAUAUAUAUAUAUAUAUAUAUAUAUAUAUAUAUACAGACAAGCAUGCAAACAUGUAGAUAUGAAUAUGUGUAUAUGGGACAGUCCAUUCUGAUGUGUGGUAACCUAUAACCUACGGAAUUCAUCGGUCGAAUUAUUUAGGUAAAUAUUGUGUAAAUAUCUUGUGUUGUGCUAUUCUAGAUUUUCAUUUCCAAUCCUGAUUGAUUUCACCAUUUCACUGAUUCUCCUCGCUAUCCAUAACGAUAUCGAACCUAGAAUUUCUGUCGUCUGUUUUCAUCGAUAUAUUCUCCCAUGAUAUGUGUAUACUGGUAUCACAUAUGAGAAAAUAUUGGGUCAUCCCAUGAAUAACGCGUUUUUUUCUUCUUCAAUUGCAUGAAUUAAAAUUCGGAGAGGGACGGAAUAAAUUACCUUCAUCAAUUUGCUAUGAAAGCAGUUAGUAAUUACACCUUGUCCUGACGCUUACUGCAAGUUUUGAAGAGAGCAGUUCGAUUUUAACAGUUAUUUUUCAAAGAUUUAACAGAAGUGACAAAGGAACCUAUUCGACAGAUUUUGCUUUAU
rnacentral:lncRNA from 1 species